UGGGGAAUAUUGGACAAUGGGGGAAACCCUGAUCCAGCGAUGCCGCGUGAGUGAAGAAGGCCUUCGGGUCGUAAAGCUCUUUAGGUUGGGAAGAAGGUUGUGAGGGUAAUAUCCUUGCAAUUUGACGGUACCGACAGAAUAAGCACCGGCAAACUCUGUGCCAGCAGCCGCGGUAAUACAGAGGGUGCGAGCGUUAAUCGGAUUUACUGGGCGUAAAGGGUGCGUAGGCGGUUCUAUGAGUGUGAUGUGAAAGCCCUGGGCUCAACCUAGGAAGUGCAUCGCAAACGAUAGAACUGGAGUAUGUGAGAGGGUGGCGGAAUUUCCGGUGUAGCGGUGAAAUGCGUAGAUAUCGGAAGGAACGUCGAUGGCGAAGGCAGCCACCUGGCACAAUACUGACGCUGAGGCACGAAAGCGUGGGGAUCAAACA
rnacentral:rRNA from 1 species